GAUGAACGCUGGCGGCGUGCCUAAUACAUGCAAGUCGAGCGGCAGCACGGUCUUCGGACUGGUGGCGAGCGGCGGACGGCUGAGUAACGCGUAGGAAUAUACCCCAAAGUGAGGGAUAACUGCCCGAAAGGGUGGCUAAUACCGCAUGUGGUCUUCGGACUAAAGCCUUCGGGCGCUUUGGGAAUAGCCUGCGUAAGAUUAGCUAGUUGGUGAGGUAAUGGCUCACCAAGGCGACGAUCUUUAGCUGGUCUGAGAGGAUGACCAGCCAGACUGGAACUGAGACACGGUCCAGACUCCUACGGGAGGCAGCAGUAGGGAAUUUUCCACAAUGGGCGAAAGCCUGAUGGAGCAACGCCGCGUGCAGGAUGAAGGCCCUCGGGUCGUAAACUGCUUUUAUGUGCGAAGAAUAUGACGGUAACACAUGAAUAAGGGUCGACUAACUAACGUGCCAGCAGCCGCGGUAAU
rnacentral:rRNA from 1 species